rnacentral:rRNA from 1 species
CCUACGGGUGGCAGCAGUAGGGAAUUUUCGGCAAUGGGGGGAACCCUGACCGAGCAACGCCGCGUGAACGAAGAAGUUAUUCGUAAUGUAAAGUUCUUUUAACAGGGAAGAAAGAGAAAUUUGACGGUACCUGAAGAAUAAGCCCCGGCUAACUACGUGCCAGCAGUCGCGGUAAGACGUAGGGAGCGAGGGUUAUCCGGAAUUAUUGGGCGAAAAGGGUGCGUAGAUGGCAUAGUAAGUCUUUUGGAAAAAUGCUGGGCUCAACCCAGUAGGGCAAAAGAAACUGCAAAGCUAGAGUAUGACAGAGGCAAGUGGAACUACAUGUGUAGCGGUAAAAUGCGUAAAUAUAUGUAAGAACACCAGUGGCGAAGGCGGCUUGCUGGGUCGAUACUGACAUUGAGGCACGAAAGCGUGGGGAGCAAACAGGAUUAGAUACCCCUGUAGUC